rnacentral:rRNA from 1 species
UACGUAGGGGGCAAGCGUUGUCCGGAUUUAUUGGGCGUAAAGAGCUCGUAGGCGGUUCCGUAAGUCGGGUGUGAAAACCCCAGGCUCAACCUGGGGACGCCACCCGAUACUGCUAUAGCUAGAGUCCAGUAGGGGAGUGUGGAAUUCCCAGUGUAGCGGUGAAAUGCGCAGAUAUUGGGAGGAACACCAGCGGCGAAGGCGGCACUCUGGGCUGGUACUGACGCUGAGGAGCGAAAGCGUGGGUAGCGAACAGG